rnacentral:rRNA from 1 species
GCGAACGGGUGAGUAACGCGUAGGUAACCUGCCUUGUAGCGGGGGAUAACUAUUGGAAACGAUAGCUAAUACCGCAUAACAAUGGAUGACACAUGUCAUUUAUUUGAAAGGGGCAAUUGCUCCACUACAAGAUGGACCUGCGUUGUAUUAGCUAGUAGGUGAGGUAAUGGCUCACCUAGGCGACGAUACAUAGCCGACCUGAGAGGGUGAUCGGCCACACUGGGACUGAGACACGGCCCAGACUCCUACGGGAGGCAGCAGUAGGGAAUCUUCGGCAAUGGGGGCAACCCUGACCGAGCAACGCCGCGUGAGUGAAGAAGGUUUUCGGAUCGUAAAGCUCUGUUGUAAGUCAAGAACGGGUGUGAGAGUGGAAAGUUCACACUGUGACGGUAGCUUACCAGAAAGGGACGGCUAACUACGUGCCAGCAGCCGCGGUAAUACGUAGGUCCCGAGCGUUGUCCGGAUUUAUUGGGCGUAAAGCGAGCGCAGGCGGUUUGAUAAGUCUGAAGUUAAAGGCUGUGGCUCAACCAUAGUUCGCUUUGGAAACUGUCAAACUUGAGUGCAGAAGGGGAGAGUGGAAUUCCAUGUGUAGCGGUGAAAUGCGUAGAUAUAUGGAGGAACACCGGUGGCGAAAGCGGCUCUCUGGUCUGUAACUGACGCUGAGGCUCGAAAGCGUGGGGAGCGAACAGGAUUAGAUACCCUGGUAGUCCACGCCGUAAACGAUGAGUGCUAGGUGUUGGAUCCUUUCCGGGAUUCAGUGCCGCAGCUAACGCAUUAAGCACUCCGCCUGGGGAGUACGACCGCAAGGUUGAAACUCAAAGGAAUUGACGGGGGCCCGCACAAGCGGUGGAGCAUGUGGUUUAAUUCGAAGCAACGCGAAGAACCUUACCAGGUCUUGACAUCCCGAUGCUAUUUCUAGAGAUAGAAAGUUACUUCGGUACAUCGGUGACAGGUGGUGCAUGGUUGUCGUCAGCUCGUGUCGUGAGAUGUUGGGUUAAGUCCCGCAACGAGCGCAACCCCUAUUGUUAGUUGCCAUCAUUCAGUUGGGCACUCUAGCGAGACUGCCGGUAAUAAACCGGAGGAAGGUGGGGAUGACGUCAAAUCAUCAUGCCCCUUAUGACCUGGGCUACACACGUGCUACAAUGGUUGGUACAACGAGUUGCGAGUCGGUGACGGCGAGCUAAUCUCUUAAAGCCAAUCUCAGUUCGGAUUGUAGGCUGCAACUCGCCUACAUGAAGUCGGAAUCGCUAGUAAUCGCGGAUCAGCACGCCGCGGUGAAUACGUUCCCGGGCCUUGUACACACCGCCCGUCACACCACGAG